AUGGCUCCCCGUCCACCUAGCUCUCAGGCAGACGUUCGAGAGGUAUUUAAUCCUACCGAUGCCGAGUCUGCCGCGAAAUCCAUCCUCUUCGAAGUGUCAGAGGUUCCUUAAGCUGAGCGUACUGCGCAAACUGCCUCGCACACGAGCAAUCCACUGAGAGCUGCCCUAGCGGUGACCAGUGCAAAACCUGCGACCGGGACCAUCAUACGCUGCUCCUCAUGCACGAACACGCUUCCCGGAAAAAGUCCGGCUCUCAGCAACAGGCCGCUUCUCCGCAGCGUUCGCGCCGGCUAGAUCCCUAAGCCCUUCACCGCGCUCAGCAUCCUCGACACCAUCUCCGUCGCUCGCGGCACUUCUCCAGCGCCACAGCGUCGACGUCCUCCCAGAUGCCUUGGUGAUCGUCGAGACCGGGGAGAGCUAUUGAAAGGAAAGCAGAUAAUUUAAAUUGUGCGCACCGAAACCUAAUAGUUUUGUGAUAAAAACUGAUAUUUAUUGACCAUAAUAAAGACAGUUAGCCGAAUGGAAUAAAAUAAAACUAUGUGACACGAUGAAGAAAAUAUUCUUUACUUUCAUAAGUGACAUCUCAUCAGACAUUAUGAAUUUCACAAGUGAUUUGUGUGAAGUGUUACGAAAUUACCUCCCAUACGACAAAUACGUAGAAGGCACGCAUGAAAUCAGGACUGUCUUUGAAAAAUGUUCAUACUAGCUGUCACGAGUGAAGAAGCGGACAUCCCAUACAAAUGUCUAUAUGGAGUGGACACCACCAAAAACUAGUACCACAGGUGAUGCACUUUUCUAGUUAUAGCCUAGUACUCACAUCGACGAAAACCGUGACUAACCAUAGGAGUGAGCGAGAGGCAAACAAGCGGCUAAAACUUUUCGUCGGGUCUGUUUUUCAGCGCGGUACUCA